rnacentral:rRNA from 1 species
UACGUAGGGCGCAAGCGUUGUCCGGAAUUAUUGGGCGUAAAGAGCUCGUAGGCGGCUUGUCACGUCGGGUGUGAAAGCCCGGGGCUUAACCCCGGGUCUGCAUUCGAUACGGGCUAGCUAGAGUGUGGUAGGGGAGAUCGGAAUUCCUGGUGUAGCGGUGAAAUGCGCAGAUAUCUGGAGGAAUACCGGUGGCGAAGGCGGCAUCCUGGACCGACAUUGACGCUGAUGAGCGAAAGCUAGGGGAGCAAACGGG